rnacentral:misc_RNA from 1 species
GAAGAAGAAUAUUCCCAUCAUCCCAAGGAAACCAAGAACAGUGAAAAAGCAUCCAACAGACUCCAAGGUGUGAGCAGCGCCUGGUCUUUUACGACGAAGCCAAAGCCCACCCAGAGAAGCAAGAAAUCCUGCCCCGUUAGUUAACGCAGAAGUAUAUAGCAGAGCUUGAACUCCAACUGGCAGAGUUGAACCUGAGCCCUGUUUUGUGACUGCUAAGAGCGAGCCUGCCAGUUGAGAUGUUACAGUAAUGAUUGUGCAGGUUUUGAAUUUAUAGGGUUUCAACUUCUUAGUUGAAAUUGGUCCAAUAUUGAGAAUGAGAUGAUUACCAGGAAAAACCUGCAUAAUCUGUUCAGAUCCCUCCAUCUGAAUACGUGUCCAAGAAAUCCCAUUCUCUUCAUCUAAUCCAAACUGAUUAGCACUAGGAGAACCCUGGAUGAAAUUUUCAAUUCUCAGGCUAAACCUUCGACCAUCACCAACUCCAUAAUUUGUUCCAUCUCCACCUCCUCCACUCAGUUCAUCUUGAAUCUCAUGAUCUGAGAUAUGAUCAACAAGCUGCACUUCUUGAUUAGAGUUCUGCGUCGAGGAAUAUGCAGGAUUAGUCGCCAUUGUUGGCCAUUCAAACCAAUAAUUGUCUAAUUUUAUACACUCAUUACAUUUUUUUCCACAGAAGAAAUUUCCUCUGCACAACGGAGAAGCUUCAGAUAAACUUUGCUUCUUGGAAUGCACGCGCAUGGUAAGAUGUGUGGUGUCCAUUCCUUGCUUAAAUCUAAAGCAAGUUAUGGUUAUUU